UACGUAGGGUGCGAGCGUUAAUCGGAACUACUGGGCGUAAAGCGUGCGCAGGCGGUUUUGUAAGCCAGAUGUGAAAUCCCCGGGCUUAACCUGGGAAUGGCAUUUGGGACUGCAAGGCUGGAGUGCGGCAGAGGAGACUGGAAUUCCUGGUGUAGCAGUGAAAUGCGUAGAUAUCAGGAGGAACACCGAUGGCGAAGGCAGGUCUCUGGGCUGACACUGACGCUCAUGCACGAAAGCGUGGGGAGCAAACAGG
rnacentral:rRNA from 1 species